GACGAACGCUGGCGGCGUGCUUAACACAUGCAAGUCGAACGGAAAGGCCCUGCUUUUGUGGGGUGCUCGAGUGGCGAACGGGUGAGUAACACGUGAGUAACCUGCCCUUGACUUUGGGAUAACUUCAGGAAACUGGGGCUAAUCCCGUACAGGAGCUCCUCUUCCAUGGUGGGGGUUGGAAAUUUUCGGCGGUUGGGGAUGGAUUCGCGGCUUUUCAGCUUGUUGGUGGGGUAGUGGCUUACCAAGGCUUUGAAGGGUAGCUGGCAUGAGAGGGUGACCGGCCACAUUGGGACUGAGAGACGGACCAGACUCCUACGGGAGGCAGAAGGGGGGAAUAUGGCACAAUGGGAGGAAGCCGGAUGAAGCAACGCCGCGUGCGGGAUGACGGCCUGCGGGUUGUAAACCGCUUUCGCCUGUGACGAAGCGUGAGUGACGGUAAUGGGUAAAGAAGCACCGGCUAACUACGUG
rnacentral:rRNA from 1 species